UACGUAGGGUGCAAGCGUUGUCCGGAAUUAUUGGGCGUAAAGAGCUCGUAGGCGGUUUGUCGCGUCGAAUGUGAAAACCCGGGGCUCAACCCCGGGCCUGCAUUCGAUACGGGCAGACUAGAGUUCGGUAGGGGAGUCUGGAAUUCCUGGUGUAGCGGUGAAAUGCGCAGAUAUCAGGAGGAACACCAGUGGCGAAGGCGGUGCUCUGGGCCGGAACUGACGCUGAGGAGCGAAAGCGUGGGGAGCAAACAGG
rnacentral:rRNA from 1 species